ACGCUGGCGGCGUGCCUAAUACAUGCAAAGUCGAACGCUUCUUUUCCUCCCGAGUGCUUGCACUCAAUUGGAAAGAGGAGUGGCGGACGGGGUGAGUAACACGUGGGGUAACCUACCCAUCAGAGGGGGGAUAACACUUGGAAACAGGUGCUAAUACCGCAUAACAGUUUAUGCCGCAUGGCAUAAGAGUGAAAGGCGCUUUCGGGUGUCGCUGAUGGAUGGACCCGCGGUGCAUUAGCUAGUUGGUGAGGUAACGGCUCACCAAGGCCACGAUGCAUAGCCGACCUGAGAGGGUGAUCGGCCACACUGGGACUGAGACACGGCCCAGACUCCUACGGGAGGCAGCAGUAGGGAAUCUUCGGCAAUGGACGAAAGUCUGACCGAGCAACGCCGCGUGAGUGAAGAAGGUUUUCGGAUCGUAAAACUCUGUUGUUAGAGAAGAACAAGGACGUUAGUAACUGAACGUCCCCUGACGGUAUCUAACCAGAAAGCCACGGCUAACUACGUGCCAGCAGCCGCGGUAAUACGUAGGUGGCAAGCGUUGUCCGGAUUUAUUGGGCGUAAAGCGAGCGCAGGCGGUUUCUUAAGUCUGAUGUGAAAGCCCCCGGCUCAACCGGGGAGGGUCAUUGGAAACUGGGAGACUUGAGUGCAGAAGAGGAGAGUGGAAUUCCAUGUGUAGCGGUGAAAUGCGUAGAUAUAUGGAGGAACACCAGUGGCGAAGGCGGCUCUCUGGUCUGUAACUGACGCUGAGGCUCGAAAGCGUGGGGAGCAAACAGGAUUAGAUACCCUGGUAGUCCACGCCGUAAACGAUGAGUGCUAAGUGUUGGAGGGUUUCCGCCCUUCAGUGCUGCAGCAAACGCAUUAAGCACUCCGC
rnacentral:rRNA from 1 species